GAUGAACGCUAGCUACAGGCUUAACACAUGCAAGUCGAGGGGAAACGGCAUUUAGUGCUUGCACUGAAUGGACGUCGACCGGCGCACGGGUGAGUAACGCGUAUCCAACCUACCCAUUACUGUGGGAUAACCUGCCGAAAGGCAGACUAAUACCGCAUAGUCUUCGAUGACGGCAUCAGAUUUGAAGUAAAGAUUUAUCGGUAAUGGAUGGGGAUGCGUCUGAUUAGCUUGUUGGCGGGGUAACGGCCCACCAAGGCAACGAUCAGUAGGGGUUCUGAGAGGAAGGUCCCCCACAUUGGAACUGAGACACGGUCCAAACUCCUACGGGAGGCAGCAGUGAGGAAUAUUGGUCAAUGGGCGAGAGCCUGAACCAGCCAAGUAGCGUGCAGGACGACGGCCCUAUGGGUUGUAAACUGCUUUUGUAUGGGGAUAAAGUCAAUCACGUGUGAUUGUUUGCAGGUACCAUACGAAUAAGGACCGGCUAAUUCCGUGCCAGCAGCCGCGGUAAUACGGAAGGUUCGGGCGUUAUCCGGAUUUAUUGGGUUUAAAGGGAGCGUAGGCCGGAGAUUAAGUGUGCUGUGAAAUGUAGACGCUCAACGUCUGACUUGCAGCGCAUACUGGUUUCCUUGAGUACGCACAACGUUGGCGGAAUUCGUCGUGUAGCGGUGAGAUGCUUAGAUAUGACCAAGAACUCCGAUUGCGAAAGGCAGCUGACGGGAGCGCCACUGACGCUUAAGCUCGAAGGUGCGGGUAUCGAACAG
rnacentral:rRNA from 1 species